AGGGGGUCUUGUGGCCAGGGUCUUUUGGUGGUGAGAUUUCCCCUCCCCACAUUACAGAUUGAGACUAUGAGUUCAAAACUCUGAUCUGUUUGCAGGGUUUAAACUUCACAGCAUCUUUCUUUUGUUUUUUUGAGACAGAGUCUCACUCUUGUCGCCCGGGCUGGAGGGCAGUGGCGCAAUCUCGGCUCACUGCGGCCUCCACCUCCCAGGUUCAAGCAAUUAUCCUGCCUUAGCCUCCCAAGUAGCUGGGACUACAGACGCCCGCCACCCCACCCGGCAAAUUUUCGUAUUUUUUGGUAGAGACGGGGUUUCACCAUGUUAGCCAGGCUGGCAGCAUCUUUCUUUAUAAGCCAGUGACCUGCUAUAUUUCAUUUUAACAGACUGGCUGGAGGUGUGGUCCUUGUGGAACUGGUGCUUGGGACCCCUUCUCCCGGGGCUCAGCAGAUGCGGGUGACAAGAGGGUGGGACCCCUUCUCCCAGGGCUCAGCAGAUGCGGGUGACAAGAGGGUCUGUGGGUUAGUCUGGCCCUGACAGAGCUG
rnacentral:lncRNA from 10 species